GCCUGUUUAGCUCAGUUGGUAGAAUGCAAGGCUCUUAACUUUGUGGUCGUGGGUUGGAGCUCCACGGUGGGCA
rnacentral:tRNA from 1 species